UAUUUUUUACAAACUUAGAAUUACUAUUUAUGUAUUCAACUAUAGCAAUUGCUGCAUAUCGACUACCAAACGACUUUCGUUCACUGCGCUCAACGGUACUAUAUCCGCAGACAUAUCUCUUGUCUAUUGAAAUCAGCCGUCAGGCGUAUAGCGUGCCUUUACUUUCCGUGAAACACUUAACGCAGGCACGGAACAAGGUGGAACGCAGCUCCGACUAGGUUCGGAAAGAAAUCUUCGAAGAACACAAAUGCUUGUGAGUAAUGCUGCAGUACAGUGUGUACUUUAUAUCGUUAUAGAAGGUAAUGCACAAGAGAUUUACAAUUGCAAAAGUCUCAAGGAGGCGCUGCAUGAGGCAUCUCUUCCAAGAAGUUCACAAAAACGACAGCUUCCGUGGGGGCUAAUAGCGGGACACUAUUUCCUAAAACAUAAGUUAUUUACAUCUCCUAGAGUCUAGAAAACGAUAGCGUAAUGAGUAAUUUUCGGCUAAAACAAAUGACUGCUAAAUCAUGGGUUGAAUAGUAAAAGGUUUCAGUUUGAGAACGGGUGAUUAAUAAUAAUAGCAACAAUUACAGAUGGGAAAACUUGAGGGCUUGGUGGAACUUUCGUUUGAAAUACGAUAGAAAGAGUGUCAUGAAAGAGUUAAUAAUUAGUAUUGCUUCGUUUGAAAAAGAAGAGAGAAGUUGAUCAUUCCAUAGAUUAUAGAGUAUCGUAAAUGGUUUAACACGACAUCAAAUAAAAAAGAACGAAAUUAUUUCUGUAUGAACCACCAUAUCACGGAUGUGCGCACAGGUUUCAU